rnacentral:rRNA from 1 species
GACGAACGCUGGCGGCGUGCCUAAUACAUGCAAGUCGAACGCAGUGGGGACGGGUGAGUAACACGUGGGUAACCUCCCAUCAGAGGGGAUAACAAUUGGAAACAGGUGCUAAACCGAUACAGAUGGAUGGCCCUGCGGUUCAUUCGCUAGUUGGGGAUGUAACGGCUCACCAAGGCCACGAUGCAGAGCCGACCUGAGAGGGUGACUGGCCACACUGUGACUGAGACACGGCCCAGACUCCUACGGUAGGCAGCAGUAGGGAAUCUUCGGGAAUGGACGAAAGUCUGAUCUAGCAACGCCGCGUGAGUGAAGAAGGUUUUCGGAUCGUAAAACUCUGUUGUUAGAGAAGCGGUAUCUAACCAGAAAGCCACGGCUAACUACGUGCCAGCAGCCGCGGUAAUUC